rnacentral:sRNA from 1 species
GCUGGGCGCGGUGGCGCACGCCUGUAAUCUCAGCAACUCAGGAGGCCGAGGCAGGAGGAUCUCAAGUUCAAAGCCAGCCUCCG